CCUACGGGAGGCAGCAGUCGGGAAUCUUCCACAAUGGACGAAAGUCUGACGCAGCGACGCCGCGUGCGUGAAGAAGGGUUUCGGAUUGUAAACUGCUGUUGACAGGGAAGAAAGAAGGCAGUAGCUGUAGACUAAUCUCCGACUAUCUACGCGCCAGCAGCCACGGUAAUACGUAGGGAGGAAGCCGUGUCCGGAUUUAUUGGGCGUAAAGGGUGCGCAGACGGUGAAGGAAGUUAGUUGUGAAAGCCCUCGGCUUAACUGAGGAAUUGCACCUAAACCUACUUCACUUGAGUACUGGAGAGGAGAGUGGAACUCCAUGUGUAGCGGUGAAAUGCGUAGAUAUAAGGAGGAACACCAGUGGCGAAGGCGGCUUUCUGGACAGUAACUGACGUUGAGGCACGAAAGUGUGGGGAGCAAACAGGAUUAGAUACCCUUGUAGUC
rnacentral:rRNA from 1 species